rnacentral:misc_RNA from 1 species
GAUGAAGAACGUAGCGAAAUGCGAUAAGUAAUGUGAAUUGCAGAAUUCAGUGAAUCAUCGAAUCUUUGAACGCACAUUGCGCCCCCUGGUAUUCCGGGGGGCAUGCCUGUUCGAGCGUCAUUUCACCACUCAAGCCUCGCUUGGUAUUGGGCAACGCGGUCCGCCGCGUGCCUCAAAUCGACCGGCUGGGUCUUCUGUCCCCUAAGCGUUGUGGAAACUAUUCGCUAAAGGGUGCUCGGGAGGCUACGCCGUAAACCAAACCCAUUUCUAAGGUUGACCUCGGAUCAGGUAGGGAUACCCGCUGAACUUAAGCAUAUCAAUAAGCGGAGGA